rnacentral:lncRNA from 1 species
UGAAUCUGUGCUUUGGCUUGCCUUGCUUGUGUGCUUUGUUCAAUUCUUUGUUCUAAAUGCCAAGAACCUGGACAACUACCCUCAACCAGUAACAUGUUUUGGCAAGCCAGCCAGGAGACCAUCAAGCUUCAGAUGACCAGGCAACAAAGCUUCCAGCAAGUUCCAAAUGAAGAUAAUACCCCUGGCCAUCAAGAAACUAUCCUGUUUCUACUAGACAGAGCAUGGAAAGAGUCCCGUGAUCCCCACUAGGUAGGGACUCCACUCCAACUCAGCAUGAAGCAGUUACACAAGAAAGACCAUCAGUCCCUCCUCCUCUCAUAAAGAUUUAUGGGGAUCACAUCUCUCAGUGGGGGAAAUAAGGCAGGAGAAUAGGGUCUGGAGGCAGGGAACCAAAGGCUGACUCGUGCUGACUGGAUAUCAGAGGCUACUCCCCUUUAAACAAACCCCUCCUUUUGCUAUGUGGCAGUUGCUGCCUGGCCAUUAGAAAACGAAAGUACCUCUGAUUGGUCCCUUUCCACAACCAAUUAGACUGGACACAGGCCUACUCUUCAACCAAUCAGACUGGUCACAGGCCACUAGAGUGAACCAAUGGGAAACCUCUAGAGGGUAUAUAAGCCCCAGAAAAUUGUGUAACCAGCACCCCU